GUCUGUGCUCUUCUUCCAAGGGACUGCACUGGUCUUCCUCUCCCUGCAGAAGUGUGCUCUGGCUGACUGGCAUCGCCAUAACGCCACCGUUAAUGGAUAUGCGAAGGGAGCGGCUUGUGUGUUUCCCUUUACCUACACGUCUCGUGUUUAUUAUGUGUGCAUCAAUGACUUUCAUCACACAGACUGGUGUUCAAUAGAACCUGUAUAUGAACCGACGAAACUAUGGGGAGAGUGUCCACCAAAAGACGUUUGUGAUGUCCACUCUCAAACUGAUGACCCGUGGCGCAACGUUGGGUUUGCUUCCAAAACCUUCCUCGGCUGGCCCAAAACAGACAGCGCUCUGGCAGAAGGCUGGUACCGCUUCACUGGUAUCGGUGGAGAUGUCCUGGCUGAGGGCUGCCCCAGUUCUGCCACUGGUGGAACCAAUAACCCACUGUCUCUCUGUAGUGGUAACAGCCAUCCCAGCCUGACUGAUGGUGUCAAAGCCAUGAGUUUGUGUUCCCCUGGAAACUGCCUGGGAGGAGAGCGUGUAAAUGUGCUGGCUUGCCCUGGAGGAUUCUUCUUGUAUUAUCUCUACCCUACAUACAAAGGUCAUCGGUCAUGUAAUGUGACAUCCUGUGGUGUGAACGCUCAGUGUGAGGACAGCAGUGGUGGUUGUGUGUGCAGCCCUGGUUAUGAGAUUCCUACAGGGACUCUACCAACAGGAGA
rnacentral:lncRNA from 1 species